rnacentral:rRNA from 1 species
UACGUAGGCAGCGAGCGUUGUUCGGAAUUACUGGGCGUAAAGAGUGUGUAGGCGGUGUUCCAAGUCUGGUGUGAAAUCUCCCGGCUUAACUGGGAGGGUGCGCCGGAAACUGGAAUGCUCGAGGGUGGGAGAGGUAAGCGGAAUUCCUGGUGUAGCGGUGAAAUGCGUAGAUAUCAGGAGGAACACCUGUGGUGUAGACAGCUUACUGGACCACUUCUGACGCUGAGACACGAAAGCGUGGGGAGCAAACAGG